CAGAAGAUAGUUUAAUUCAGAUUCUGGCUUUGGGAGCCAGGGGUGGGGAGUUAAAAUCUCCCUUUUUCUGG
rnacentral:tRNA from 1 species